UACGAAGGGUGCAAGUGUUGUUCGGAAUCACUGGGCGUAAAGGGAGCGUAGGCGGACUUUUAAGUCAGAUGUUUAAUUUCGGGGCCCAACCCCGAAUUUGCGUUUGAAACUGGAAGUCUUGAAUAUAUGUAGGGGUGAAUGGAAUUCCCGGUGUAGCGGUGGAAUGCGUAGAUAUCGGGAGGAACACCAGUUGCGAAGGCGAUUCACUGGACUAAUAUUGACGCUGAGGCUCGAAAGCGUGGGGAGCGAACAGG
rnacentral:rRNA from 1 species